GCGGUCCGCUGUGUGGAAUGUCCGGCUGCGCUCUUGUGCUCGCCCGAUACCCUGAUCAGGUGCGCCGUCUCUCCGGGGCGGCCGCAUAGCCGACAGCCGUCGCAUCCUAGGGAGAACCCUUCAUG
rnacentral:sRNA from 1 species